CCAAGUUGGCCAUUCAAGCGUAUGUCUCCGCUGUGGUCGUUCACUCUUAGCCCGGCGGUUCAACCACCUUCUUCGUAAUGAUUCUGCUCGUGAAUCUGCGAUAUAUAAUGUGAUUAGAGAGUGGAUUCUACCACAAACGGUGGACGAGGCAAGUCGUAUAUGCCAUUCCUGUUGGAUAUUAGCAGACAGAGCUGCUGUUCAUAUGAGUACAGGUCCUUCGACUUCCUCACAAAGUAACCCACCGCCAGCCCAAUCAUCAGUUGGUGUUUCUGUUGGACAAUUGGAUGAAAAUCAUGACAACAUUCUACACGAACCUGAGAAUGUUUCCAUUCAACCAGAACAAAACCAAGGUAAUGAUGAUGUGCAUGAACCCUCAGUGGAACUACAUUCACCAAGUGCCCCAAUUGUGGAACCAGUACAACAGCACCCUGAACCAACAAUUGUAUUGCCAGAUUAUAUGCGGGCAGUUGAAACAGAGCGACGGUGCUUCAUAGAAGGUUGCCAGAGAACUGAACGAUAUAGAGUUCCUCUAGCAACGAGAAAAA